UACGUAGGGAGCGAGCGUUGUCCGGAAUCAUUGGGCGUAAAGGGCGCGUAGGUGGCCCGGUCAGUUCGUGGUGAAAGCGCGGGGCUCAACUCCGCGUCGGCCAUGAAUACUGCUGGGCUUGAGCACUGUAGAGGCAGGCGGAAUUCCGGGUGUAGCGGUGGAAUGCGUAGAGAUCCGGAAGAACACCGGUGGCGAAGGCGGCCUGCUGGGCAGUAGCUGACACUGAGGCGCGACAGCGUGGGGGAGCAAACAGG
rnacentral:rRNA from 1 species